rnacentral:rRNA from 1 species
UGAGGAAUAUUGGUCAAUGGAGGCAAGUCUGAUCCAGCCAUGCCGCGUGCAGGAAGACUGCCCUAUGGGUUGUAAACUGCUUUUAUACAGGAAGAAACCUUUUCACGUGUGAGAAGGUGACGGUACURUAAGAAUAAGGACCGGCUAACUCCGUGCCAGCAGCCGCGGUAAUACGGAGGGUCCAAGCGUUAUCCGGAAUCAUUGGGUUUAAAGGGUCCGUAGGCGGGAAUCUAAGUCAGAGGUGAAAUCUUGCAGCUCAACUGUAAAAUUGCCAUUGAUACUGGUUGUCUUGAGUUAUUGUGAAGUGAUUAGAAUGUGUAGUGUAGCGGGGAAAUGCAUASAUAUUACACAGAAUACCAAUUGCGAAGGCAGAUCACUAACAAUAUACUGACGCUGAGGGACGAAAGCGUGGGGAGCGAACAGGAUUAGAUACCCUGGUAGUCCACGCCGUAAACGAUGGAUACUAGCUGUUCGAACUUCCGUUUGAGUGGCUAAGCGAAAGUGAUAAGUAUCCCACCUGGGGAGUACGUUCGCAAGAAUG